GCCGGCGUUAAGCCGGAGGAAGGUGGGGGCUACGGCAGGUCAGCAUGCCCCGAAACYCCCGGGCUACACGCGAGCUGCAAUGGCGGGGACAACGGGUACCGACCCCGNAAGGGGGAGGUAAUCCCUUAAACCCCGCCUCAGUAGGAAUCGAGGGCUGCAACUCGCCCUCGUGAACGUGGAAUCCCUAGUAACCGCGCGUCACCAACGCGCGGUGAAUACGUCCCUGCUCCU
rnacentral:rRNA from 1 species